UACGUAGGGUGCAAGCGUUGUUCGGAUUUACUGGGCGUAAAGGGCGCGUAGGCGGCGCAACAAGUCACUUGUGAAAUCUCCGGGCUUAACCCGGAGCGGUCAAGUGAUACUGUCGUGCUAGAGUGCGGAAGGGGCUACUGGAAUUCUCGGUGUAGCGGUGAAAUGCGUAGAUAUCGAGAGGAACACCUGCGGCGAAGGCGGGUAGCUGGGCCGACACUGACGCUGAUGCGCGAAAGCCAGGGGAGCGAACGGG
rnacentral:rRNA from 1 species